ensembl:lncRNA
GCUGGGUCAGAAACUGGGUUGUCAGUACAAUGCAGAAAGUAAUAGUAAAAGCUAAUAGAUGAUUUAUAUGACCUUCACAUUGGAUUAGUGACCAGUAGAGUGUAUAACCAAAAUACUGUGCAUUGUACUCACUAACAUAAUAUUUUUCUUUUUAUAAUACAAAAGACAUUAAUGUAAUACAAAUGUUCAUUCUACUCUGCGUUAUCAGGGAUUUCCAUGUUGUAUUUAGAGCCUGGUCUCCUGAUUAUUGGUCUAGUUUACAUAAUACCAUAAGUACAAAAUGGAGUACUCUUUUGAAAUGAGAAGAACUGCAGUAAUGAAGGAGGAAUAAGGAAAUGAAACGAAACAUUGAGGGACAGCUUUCUUUUCCUGUGGUGUUUGACAAAGGAUCUGCCAGCGCUUAGUGAGGGCUGCAAAAAUCAGUUCCUGCUGCCUGAAGGAGCCUGUGCUUCUGGUGAGGUGAGAGCACAGCUCGGAGUCAUCUGUUACACCAAUGAGGAGAAGCACGCACUUCAGGAGAAAAGCAGAUGAAGAGGGUUUUCUUUCCACUCCAGUAACUCACAGCAGAUUCUUGUCUAUCCAUGUGUUGGACAGCUGAGAAUACAGCAAGCUGUUGAGUAAGAGGUUCAGAUAUUCAAGGAGGCCAAACUCUUAAAAUAUCAACAGAAGCAUAUCUUAAUUUUCUUAAAUUAUCUGAGGGCUGUGGAAAAAGGAGGCAGGGAAGAAAAGAGGGAUUUCCAGGAAUCUCAAAUAAUGUUGGUUUAAACUAUUUAAAAGCUGGAUGAUCGAGUUUUUAAGGGUGUACCCACAGGAAGAGGAAAGAAAGUGGAAGAGAAUUCAGAGAUCGAUCUUUGGUUACAAGUACCAUGUGGUGCACGAAAAGCACAGAGGAACCAAGGUCCAGAAGAGCUUAUACUGCAGCCAUGUGACAACAUACAGCUGUUUGAAGGAACCGAGACCUAUUGCAGCGGCUGAAUGAGGUCCCAGGGAAGUACGAGGGGAAAGAAAAUCAUCAGGGAUAAGUUCUAGAAAUGCCUCCACUUUGAAGGUGAGUCUUUGUGUGCUGCUUACCAGCAACAUGAUGGUCCUUUCUGUUGUCUGCUCCUCCUUGAAGGCCAAUCAGUCUGAGAACAAGAUGACCUUUCAUUGACCUUUCUUGUAUAUUUCAUGACCUUCACAUACAGUAUAUGCCUGGUUUGCUUUGAAGUCCUGUUAGACAGAAGCUCUUCUUCUGGUACCUUAUAACCUGAAGUUCAUUAUAAACCUGAGUGGCAAUUCCUGAUUCCAGAAGCUAGUUACAAAAAUACCUUUCUUGUUGGCUGAGGUGCCACAUACUAUAAUUGAAAAGCAGGAGCAGUCUAAAUAUUGUCCUGUAUCUCUGCUACUGCAGAACAGUUCAUAAAUAAUAAUGAUAGGGACUGGGCUGGAGAACUGAAGGUGAGAGGGAGCCUUUUGAAAAAAAGCUGCAAUAAGAAGGGUAAGGAUGAAAUGUUGCAGCAUUGUAUGAUGUUAUAAUUGGCCAGUGCAAUUACAUUUUGUUUACCUUAUUGGUAAUGCAAUUUAUUUUCACAGGUACACUUUGAGAAUUGUAAGUGUUAGAUGUGCUGCAGAACUACGCUGGCUAUACUGAUGUAUUUCCCUUGGACCUUUGCAAACUUUGGAAGAAUAGGAUUACAUGCAAAUAACUCUUGGCGGGAUACGUGGCUAUUGAUUUGUAAAGGGAGCUGCUCUUUGAUUUUUUGAGAAUAAUUACAGAAUCUCACCGUUUUCUUUCUGUGUUACUGAUGGCUGAAGGGCUUCCAUAGCAGGGAAUCUAAUCUCAGGAGAAUUGUGAACUCUGUCUUUCUAAGUUGAGAUGGCAUGUUGCCAUUGUCAUUUGUACUAAUGCCUGAUUUGGGUGGCAAGGAAUAACUGCAUGAAUAAGAAAAUAAAUGCAUC